GACGAACGCUGGCGGCGUGCCUAAUACAUGCAAGUUGAACGCUUCUUUCUUAUCGAACUUCGGUUCACCAAGAAAGAGGAGUAGCGAACGGGUGAGUAACACGUGGGUAACCUGCCCAUCAGCGGGGGAUAACACUUGGAAACAGGUGCUAAUACCGCAUAAUGCUUUUUCUCACAUGAGAGAAAGCUGAAAGGCGCUUUUGCGUCACUGAUGGAUGGACCCGCGGUGCAUUAGCUAGUUAGUAGGGUAACGGCCUACCAAGGCAACGAUGCAUAGCCGACCUGAGAGGGUGAUCGGCCACACUGGGACUGAGACACGGCCCCAGACUCCUACGGGAGGCAGCAGUAGGGAAUCUUUCGGCAAUGGACGAAAGUCUGACCGAGCAA
rnacentral:rRNA from 1 species